CCCCAAUCCAAAGACAUGCAUGGUAGCUGUGGAGAAAGUCCUACCACGAGAUCCAUCACAUCAGGUCAAAUUUCAUGAGGUCAGACUGAAAACAAAAAAGGUGAGCCUGCUAAUCGAGAUCAUUGUUUGGCAGCAUAGUUGUGAAGAAUGAAGUCACACCAGUGGGGUGAGGUUGGAAAAACCAAAUGAAGAUUUGUCAUCAAAAUCCAUCCCUCUAUCUUCUAUAGCGCUUAUCCUUCCUUCAGGGUCACGGGGAACCUGGAGCCUGUCCCAGGGAGCAUCGGACACAAGACCCCCCUGGCUCUUAAUGUAUUGCCUUCGUGAGCAUCAGUGAACGUUUGCACCUCAACAAAGAUGGAUCUCAACAUCAUAUAGCCGCUGUUGGAAAGGAGUCAAAUAUGCAGAAGAUGCUGGAAAAGCAAAGAACGUGCAGGACCUGGAGGAUUUUUCUGAAGAACAGUGGGCAGUUUAACUGCUCAGGACAAACAAGGGACGCAUGAACAACUUUCACAAAACAUAAACACAGUCGCUGAUCAUCCAGGUAACGACACACAGGAUUAAGACUCAAGCGUGUGUAAACUUUUGAACGCAUUUAUUUGUGUAAAUUCAGUUAUUAUUGUGUCUUGUGGACUAUAUGUAAACAUCUGUUAUGUGACAUAGAUCAUUCAGGGCAGGACUAAAUGAAAAACAAACUGCAAUUUUUAUGAUACCUCUUUUUUUAAUAAAUAACAUUUUGCAGAUUCUACAAAGCGUACGUAAACUUAUGACCGCAGCUGUACAGUGAAAAUGUGAACUGAAAUUUAAACAUGCUCCUGUCAUCUCGCUCUACCGCUGACCUACUGGCCAUCUUUCUUAUUAAACACACAGUGACAGAUUCUUC
ensembl:lncRNA